rnacentral:tRNA from 1 species
GCGCUCUUAGUUCAGUUUAGUAGAACAUGGGUCUCCAAAAUUCAAUGUUGUAGGUUUAAAUCCUACAGAGCGUG